AUUGAACGCUGGCGGCAUGCCUUGCACAUGCAAGUCGAACGGUAACGGGCCUUCGGGUGCCGACGAGUGGCGAACGGGUGAGUAAUGCAUCGGAACGUACCUUUCAGUGGGGGAUAACGUAGCGAAAGUUACGCUAAUACCGCAUAUUCUGUGAGCAGGAAAGCAGGGGAUCGCAAGACCUUGCGCUGAUUGAGCGGCCGAUGUCAGAUUAGCUAGUUGGUGAGGUAAAGGCUCACCAAGGCGACGAUCUGUAGCGGGUCUGAGAGGAUGAUCCGCCACACUGGAACUGAGACACGGUCCAGACUCCUACGGGAGGCAGCAGUGGGGAAUUUUGGACAAUGGGGGCAACCCUGAUCCAGCCAUGCCGCGUGAGUGAAGAAGGCC
rnacentral:rRNA from 1 species